ensembl:lincRNA
CCCCCCCCCCCAUCCUUUCAUGAGUUAAAGCUUUGGAAGUAGACAAUUCAGGAACUGUAAACAUGGUAAUUGAUGCCUUGAAAAACGUAUUUAUUUCACUUCAAGCAGAGUUUUUCAGUGCUUGACACUCAUGAAGUCAUUUGAUUUUUAUGGUAUUUUUGCAAAACGUUUUUUGUUUACAUCUGAUCUAAUAUUUUUCUCUUACUUACAGAAAAUGAUUCCCAUCCAACCGUCAUCAAAUCUUCAUCCACCCAGAUUGGAGGAAUGCAAUGGUCUUCGAACCAGAAGUUCUUGACACACAGCCCACGUUCCUCUUCCUCUACAUUGAGACUUGCUACAUCCACGAAGAACAAGGCACUGGAUGAUUCCUGUCGAACACAAGCAUCAUUCAGUUAUCCCCAGCCGUCGCACUUUUCUCCAGCAAAGUCUUCAAACAAAGCAUCAAAAUCUCUCUACUCUACUCUUCUAGCAUCUGAUAUAGCUGAACUUGGUUGCACACCCUCCAACCAGCAGACAAAAGUUUGUUCAGCACUUAAAACCGAGCAGACAUCCGCGCCACCUCCUCGUCCCAUGUCUGAACCCUCCCCAGCCCAACACCAUGCCAGCAAGCUAUGGAUCAGCACAAGCUCAUCCUCAGCCCUGAUAAUAGACAUGCCAAUGCCCUCGGGGAGCUCACAAAAAUGUAUAAAACUCCCCCUCCACCAUACCAUGCAAAUACACACGUUAUAAAAAACUCUACCAAGCCUCCUCCAUAUCCAUCCAACUUUUCUGGAGAUUAUGCCCUUCAUAUCUUGCAGUCCUACAGUGACCAAAUUAACAUCACUCCUGAUCCUACCUCUGCAGUUGCAAAAGAACAACAGCUUCCAGCAAGUCACUACCCUCCACAAUCUGUUGCAUUUUCUACACCAUCAAAUAGCACCUCAGUAUCUCAAACGUUAUCCAGCUGCUCUGAUUCUUUUACCUCACAGUCAUACACAGCUAAAUCAUCAGCAAUUUUUGCAUCACCUUCGUCAUCAACAUCGACCACCCUGCCAUACUCUGAGAGACAGCUUUCCCAUCUUGCAAGAACCUUUGAACAGACACCACAUGGUUGUCCAUCACAAGAAAUGACUUCUAACAACUAUUCGAGGCAGGCCCAACCUUCACCAACCCCAACUCACCUUUCUGAAUCUCGACCAAGGGCAAUCGUGGCUCCAUCACCUUCACUAGUUGCAGGUGCUUUAAGCAAAGAUGCAGGUUUUGGGCCCCGAGCUUCAAUGGCCAUUAUUCAAGCUGCUGCAGCAUUUGAAAGCAAUCCCAUGUCAUCCUGUGAAUCCCAGGUGGAACAAACUCGUACAAUGCACCCUAACUGGAAGGAAUCAUCAUCAAAUGGAGGAGCAUUGUGUCAGAACUACACAUCGCAAGAGAAGGGGGGGACUGUGCUCAGUCGUUCUUCCCACAGCUCAACAGCAGGGCCCUCGCUUUCUGAAAGCAUGACGGUGCCAAGCCCAUCUCGACCACAACACAGCCUGGUGUCGCAUUACGGCUUACCCACCAGCCAUUCUGGGCCUGCCCAACCAGUUCCCCAUCAAGCAAACCAGACAAACCAAGCUGGAAUUUCAGCUUUUAACAAUGCUGCCUGUCCUCCGGUAAUGCUGCAGCCUGGCCUUUCUCUCUCCAGUCUGCAAACUGAUCCGCUGGCACCGUACCACAUGUCGGCUGCCUUCCAAGGCCAGUCGGGAAGGCUUAAUGUAGCUUUUCCAACCAAACCAGGCUUAAUAUCUGGUCUAUCGCAGCCGGGCCUGCCAGCAGCAUUUCCUGCACAGCCCGGACUGACUUCAGCCUUCCUUGUUUCAUCGGGCCUAUCUCCAGCCUUCCAAACACAACCAGCUGCCCUUGGCUCACAGCAAGCCCUGGGGACACCUUUCCCCAUGCCCUCUCUUUUUCCUGGGGUUCCUCAAGGUCAUGGCAGUCCAUCACAGGCUUUUCAAGCUUCAGCCGGAGCACUUGCUGCACCUGUCCUGCCUGAUGCCACUUCUGUUGCCAUUGGUAACCCGCUGUCUUUAGCACCGAGCCUCGGCCUUGCUUAUGCAAACCAAUCAGGCCUAGUUCCCACAUCGGUAUUCAGUGCUGGGGGUCAGCCAACAUACCCUGGUGCAUUGGGUUGGCAGUGAUGAAAGAGGAAAAUGCAAAUGGAGGCAGUUUAUUGGUAUUCUAUUUCCACUGUCUUUGUUGAUUGUUUGUGUGCGUGCGCGCACGGGCAUGCAUGUGCACUCCUGUGUGUUGUCUCUCUGUGCACGUGUAUGUGCGUGCGUGCACGCGCAUGUCUGUGCGUGCGUGCCUGUCCUUACGCACGUGUGCAUGCCUAAGUACGUGUGUGUGCACUUGUUGAAAUUAUUUUUGGGCCAUUACUUCUGUCGAGAACAGCUAUUUUCCACAAACAAAGGUUUAUGUGCAUAUGUCAUUUAGUGUAUAUUUAUUUUGGUUUCAACGGAUCUGUGAUCUCUAAAUAAGUUUCAAGAGAUUUGGGUCAUUUUAUGACCACGUUAAAAAUGUGAACCUGUGAAAUUCAUGCAACGUCGCUAAGAUGUAUAACUUGUGAUCAUACGAGUGAGCACACAUUUACUGUUUACAAAGUCUGCUUCUCACUUUGGUUUAGCACAGGACUAGCAUUUCAAACUAAUUUAAAAGUAGAACAUGGAAUGUUUAGAAAACUCCAUAAGCAUGCUAAAUGGGCCAUGAAGGUGUUUUUGCUUAAUUCUCGAGUUUGUAUGCAUCUAUAUAAUACGUAUGCAAAACGGUAGAAUUAAAAACCCAACCAACCUCCCUCCCCAUCCCCCUUCUUGUCCACCAUUGCAUUUUUCUUUCCUUCCAAUACUUGUUUUAUUUUUCUUCCCCCUUUUAGUGGGCAGGUUCGGUGUGUGAUUAGGACGAACUGAUGAGAUUUUGGUGAAGAUCUGGAUCUGGAUCCGGAUCCGACUACUAUAAUUUUUUAAGUGAUUCUUCACCAUUUGAGAGAUUGGGCCAAAAACGAUAUUUAGCAUGAUAUUUCAAAAGUGCAUUGGGCCCGAUAUGUUCUCAUGGAUCAGACAUUACGUGGCAGUGGUAUGCGCUCUACCGAGUGCCCUUCUCGUCUUUACUUGCUUCCUAAUCAAACGGAAGACCAAAUACUGCAUUGGAGUCGUCAAAAGGAACCAGAAGAAGCAAAGAUGGAGUCAUCAGGAGGAACCUGGAUGGGUAUCGGGUUUCAGCCACUACUCCACAACCUUCAAACCCUUCCAGGUGCAGCCAAGUGAGAAAACUUUCUGCAAGAAUUCACUUCUCCUUGGACAGAUAGACAAAGAAAGAGAGAAAUAGAGAGUAAAAUAGUAUACUUCUACUUCUACUUUAUUUCUCCCUUUGCUUCUCUCCGUACCUGCCAAUAAAAAGAUUUUGUGUUUUCAGCACUCCUUGUAUUCAUCAGAUAAAUUUUCAUUAUUGGUAAAGCACUUCAGAUAAAUUUUUAUUUUUCGAAAUUGACUUCCUAACACUUACACACUUCUCAAUCAUCAGUUGGUGAGAUCCUACUCCCUCUACCAGCUGUGAUUAAUUUUAAAUCGUGGGAUUGCAUUGUUGCGUUGACUGGACACGGUUGAGGUUGUGCAUCUACUGAUGUGAACCCAUGGCCGUGGUUGUGGACCCACAGCUCGGAGAGGUUCUGUGCGAAAAGGAUCAAAACCUUGAGGAAGAGUGCAGCCAAGCUUAUGAUCCAGAAAAUCUAUCAAUUGCUUGCAAGUUAACAAAGUUUUUACUCGAGGUAAAUAACUAUUUUGAGUUUUGCAAUUACGAUAAGUCCAGGUGUUGUAGAAUUGGUGUCAUUUACAACAUCCGUUUAAAGUUAAUUAUCAUGGAGUACAGUUGGUACUCCAAAGGUAGGGAUGGCACAGGGAAAAAAUGGCCGCCCAUUCAAAGUGUACACAAUGAUAUGCUUAAAAAGUACUAUCGAGUGAAGUCAUACGCAUUUAAAAGCCAUAUAUUUUAUUGCUAUCGGAAUUUCCCUUCCUGCUCAAUAAAUGAUUUUAUUUGUGAGUAAGAGACUUGUGACAAAAAAUGAUUUGUGAGGAACACUGUCCCCCCUCCUCCGACUUUAUCCCUCCCCACUCCACCCCGUCAGCUUCCCUCCACCUGCACCCUCUCCUUGCUCCUUUCCUCAUCCCCAAGUCCUAUCAGCAACUCCUCUCCUCCUGUCCCUUACUGUGUGGACCUCAAAUGUCUUAGGCCUCCAUUUCAACCUUAAAUCUCUUAAACCAGACAUCAUCUGUUUAACGGAAUUCUAGUUCUCACGGAACGUUCCUAACUCUAGUUUCUCUCCCUGGCUACAAUUGUCUUCUCUGGUUUGACCGAUCUGAAUCCCGUCCUGGUGGUAGAGUUGCGUAGUGCAUAAAAAAACUCCAUUUUUUCACACUUAGUCCAUGAGCCAGUUGGGUUGGUCGGUACCAUCUGGGGGGAAUAAUUCUCAUCAUGAUUUUUGGCAAGGUAUAUAACCCAAGAGUUAGAAAGUAUGUGAUAGCAUUGCAUCGGUGGUAGCUUUUUGUGUGUUAUCACCCUGUUUAUAUGCCUACCCUUAAAUAAGCUUUUGUGCAAGAGGGGGGUUGCAUCGGUGGUAGCUUUUUGUGUGUUAUCACCCUGUUUAUAUGCCUACCCUUAAAUAAGCUUUUGUGCAAAAUGGCCAGUUCAAGGUAAGACAUCCUACUUCAACUUAACAACAUUUUCUUUAUCAGUCAAACAUUAAAUUGAAAUUUGUCUCACCUUUUGCUAGGAUCAUUUGCUUCUCAACAAAACGUGCGAAACAUGCUGAGGUUGAAAGGUACGUCAUUGGUGAUACAUAUAUCAGUGUCUAUUUCCUGUGUGAUAAAUCAUACCACCUUUGAAAAGUAUUUGUCUAUCAUUUACUGCGGAAAGUAAAUAAAAGUUCUGGAACAAUAUAGUUAGG